UAAGGCCUGGUCACUCAGAAGGGAACACUAGAUAAGGCCUGGUCACUCAGAAGGGAACACUAGAUAAGGCCUGGUCACUCAGAAGGGAACACUAGGUAAGGCCUGGUCACUCAGAAGGGAACACUAGGUAAGGCCUGGUCACUCAGAAGGGAACACUAGGUAAGGCCUGGUCACUCAGAAGGAAACACUAGAUAAGGCCUGGUCACUCAGAAGGGAACACUAGGUAAGGCCUGGUCACUCAGAAGGAAACACUAGGUAAGGCCUGGUCACUCAGAAGGAAACACUAGGUAAGGCCUGGUCACUCAGAAGGAAACACUAGGUAAGGCCUGGUCACUCAGAAGGGAACACUAGGUAAGGCCUGGUCACUCAGAAGGGAACACUAGGUAAGGCCUGGUCACUCAGAAGGGAACACUAGGUAAGGCCUGGUCACUCAGAAGGGAACACUAGAUAAGGCCUGGUCACUCAGAAGGAAACACUAGGUAAGGCCUGGUCACUGUGGUUCCUUGACUUCCUUAACUUUGCAGUAUCAAUCAAUCAAAUUUGAUUUAUAUAGCCCUUCGUACAUCAGCUGAUAUCUCAAAGUGCUGUACAGAAACCCAGCCUAAAACCCCAAACAGCAAGCAAUGCAGGUGUAGAAGCACCUGCAGUACAUUAGUCAUAUAGUUUCUCCAGACAUUGGAUGACACUUCUGUGAUCAUGUCAACCAUAACGGCAUCUGAAAAACCUUUUAUCUCAAUGUAUGUCUGUUUUGUUAGUUAUUCUCCUUCAUCUACUGUGAACAUAUAAUAACUUUAGUGUAGGACCAGUCAUAAUAACUUUAGUGUAGGACCAGUCAUAAUAACUUUAGUGUAGGACCAGU